rnacentral:rRNA from 1 species
UCGAGCGGUACAGAGAAGCUUGCUUCUCUUGAGAGCGGCGGACGGGGGAGUCAUGCCUAUGACUCUGCCUAGUGGUGGGGGAUAACGUUCGGAAACGGACGCUAAUACCGCAUACGUCCUACGGGAGAAAGCGGGGGACCUUCGGGCCUCGCGCCAUUAUGUGAGCCUAAGGCGGAUUAACUACUUGGUGAGGUAAUGGGUCACCAAGGAUACUAUCCGUAACUGGUCUGAAAAGAUGAUCAAUCCCCCUGGAACUGACACACGGGCCAAACUCCUACGGGAGGCAGCAGUGCGGAAUAUUGCACGAUGGGCGAAAGCCUGAUCCCUCCAUGCCGCGUGUGUGAUUAACGUCUUCUGAUUGUGAAGCACUUUGGGUUGGAAGGAACGGUAAUAACUUAGUACGUUGCUACUUUGACGUUACCGACAGAAUAAGCACCGGCUAACUUCGUAGCCAACAGCCGCGGUAAUACGAAUGGUGCAAGCGUUAAUCAGAAUUACUGGUGCGUAAAGGGCGCUGACGUGGUUCAUUAAGUUGAAUGUGAAAUCCCCGGGCUCAGCCUGGGAAAUGCCAUCCAAAACUGCUGAGAUAGAGUACGGUAGAGGGUAGUGGAAUUUCCUGUGUAGCGGUGAAAUGCUUAGAUAUAGGAAGGAACACCAGUGGAGAAGGCGACUACCUGGACUGGUACUGACGCUGAGGUGCGAAAGCAUGGGGAGCAAACAGGAUUAGAUACCCUGGUAGUCCACACCGUAAACGAUGUCAACUAGCCGUUGGGAGUCUUGAACUCUUAGUGGCGCAGCUAAAGCAUUAAGUUGACCGCCUGGGGAGUACGGCCGCAAGGUUAAAUCUCAAAUGAAUUGACGGGGGUCCGCACCAUCGGUGGAGCAUGUGGUUUAAUUCGAAGCAACGUCGAAGACCCUUACCUGGCCCUUGACAUGCUGAGAACUUUCUAGAGAUUGAUUGGUGCCUUCGGGAGCUCAGACCCAGGUGCUGCAUGGCGGUCGUCAGCUUCGUGUCGUGAGAUGUUGGGUUAAGUCCGGUAACGAGCGCAACCCUUGUCCUUAGUUGCCAGCACCUAAUGGUGGGAACUCUAAGGAGACUGCCGGCGACAAACCGGAGGAAGGUGGGGAAGACGUCAAGUCAUCAUGGCCCUUACGGCCAGGGCUACACCCGUGCUACAAUGGUCGCUACAAAGGGUCACCAAGCCGCGAGGUGGAGCUAUUCCCAUAAAACCGAUCGUAGUCCGGAUGGCAGUCUGCAACUCGACCGCGUGAAGUCGGAAUCGCUAGUAAUCGUGAAUCAGAAUGUCACGGUGAAUACGUUCCCGGGCCUUCACACACCGCCCGUCACCCCAUGGGAGUGGGUUGCACCAG